CAGUCGCCGCGGGAAUACGUAGGGUGCAAGCGUUAAUCGGAAUUACUGGGCGUAAAGCGUGCGCAGGCGGUCCGCUUAGACAGAUGUGAAAUCCCCGGGCUUAACCUGGGAACUGCAUUUGUGACUGGCGGGCUAGAGUAUGGCAGAGGGGGGUAGAAUUCCACGUGUAGCAGUGAAAUGCGUAGAGAUGUGGAGGAAUACCGAUGGCGAAGGCAGCCCCCUGGGCCAAUACUGACGCUCAUGCACGAAAGCGUGGGGAGCAAACAGGAUUAGAGACCCGCGUAGUCCCUGUCUCUUAUAC
rnacentral:rRNA from 1 species